UACGAAGGUGGCAAGCGUUGUUCGGAAUCACUGGGCUUAAAGAGUACGUAGGCGGCCCGUCAAGUGCUUUGUGAAAUCCCCCGGCUCAACCGGGGAAUUGCUGGGCAUACUGUAGGGCUUGAGGCAGGUAGGGGCGCGUGGAACUCUUGGUGGAGCGGUGGAAUGCGUAGAUAUCAAGAGGAACGCCGGUGGCGAAAGCGAUGCGCUGGGCCUGUCCUGACGCUGAGGUACGAAAGCUAGGGGAGCAAAC
rnacentral:rRNA from 1 species